rnacentral:tRNA from 1 species
GGUGAGUUGGGGGAGUCGGUUUAACCCAGCACCCUGCUAAGGUGUCGGCCUCGCAAGAGGCCCGUGGGUUCAAAUCCCACACUCACCG